CCCACUAAGAAGAAUGUAAAGAAUUACACCAGCACUCCACACAUCAGCAGCCUGGUUAUAUCCUCCAGCCAGUACCUCAGGGGCAAUAUAAAAUGGGCUUCCGACCGUUCCAUGCAAAUUAUACCCUGUACAUGCAAAUGUUGUGUGCUUAGAAUGGAAAAAGUUUUGAAUUUCUUAUUGAUAAUGACAUGUGCUAAUGAAAUAAAAAAGGAUAAAAGCCUUACCUGGUUUUAUGUAAGUUGCAAGACCAAAGUCUGCCAAUUUGAUUGGUGAUGAUGAAGACUUGGUGGCUAAGAGAACGUUCUCUGGCUUCAAAUCUCUGUGCACAAUGCCAUUCUCAUGACAGUAUUGAACCACUUGCAUAAGAUGCCUAAAAAUAACCUGAGCGUCAUGUUCUGAGAACCUCCCAUACUUCUCAAGCUGGUGAAAAAGCUCUCCUCCUGCACAUAACUCCAUCAACAGAUGCACAUAUUUAUCCUCUUCAUAGACUGCUUCAAGAUUUACGACAUUUGGAUGCCCAAAUAACCUAGUCAUUAUUUCAAUUUCAAGCUUCACACUCCGCACAUCUUCAGGUGUGACCAAUCUAUCUUUAGCAAUAGAUUUGCAAGCCAAAAGCUCACCAGUCAUCUUAUCUGAGCAUGCCCUUAUAACACCAAAUCGACCCCAUCCCAAUUGCUCACCAAGGACAUACCGAUCUUUAAAAUUUGAAAUUUCAGUAGCAUCCAAAAUAGUCUGAGUCAAGUUUGAUACUUUGUAACAUUUGCAAGAUGGUAAUGAAGGCUGGUCGAUGCCAUUGAUAUUGGGAAUAUCCAUACCACCAAGGCACAAUCCUAAUUAUGAGAAAACAUUAAUCAAAACCACACUCUAUUUCUAACUUUUGUCACACAACUAACUCAGCUGCUAUUGAUUCCACUGUAGCAUCUGGGUUAGCACAAUUAUGAGGCCAAAUAUGAGAUCAAUCCAGCAAAAGACCAUCUAAUGCUGUAUAAAUAAAGCAAACCCACAAUUCCCGAAUAGAAAUUUCUGGAAAGCAUCUAUGUGCUCGUCAAUCACCUAGUUCAUGACACAGAAUUUAAAUUUCAGUACCUUGCUCAAAUUAUGUACACACAACUUGUAAGCUGUAUGACAAGGCAGAAAAAGCAUAAUCCAUAUUUCAAACUUGCAUCACACAUGGCACAUCCCAAAGUGAACUCAAACUCAAGCUAAGCAAUUAAAUUUCCUCAAGAAAAAUCCAAACUCACGACAAAAGAAUCAAAACUGAAACUUUUUGAACUCUUUAAAACUUGAUAACCAGAAAGCUACCAAAAUAUUUGAAAGAAAAGCAAACAGAGAAUUAGAAAAGAAACCCAUAAGAAAAAACCAUAAAUCCUUUGAGUAAAGAUGAAAAUUCAAUGCCAACCCUUCAAACGAUAUACAAAAACAACCAUAAAAGUUUACACCUUUAUGAAGGAAACAAACAAAAAAUGCACCAAAAGAAUACAAGUCUUAUAAUGAGAGAAAGAGAGACAGAGAGAGAAUAAACAAUAUGGGGAGAGAUAGUGAUAAAUUGACUCUCUCAUGCUUGUCUCUUCAUCUCUCCCUCUUCCUCUUUCUCUCACUGUAUCUCCCU
rnacentral:misc_RNA from 1 species